AGAAUGAUGUAUUUUCAUCACUUGUGACUUCCGUUCCAGGGUCUAAUCUUGACAUAAACCAGACAUGGAGGCCCAGCUGCAAAAUGCCAGAGAUUACCUCAAGGCUGUUAGUCUACAACCCGGCCAUCGUUCAGAUGACAUCAGAUCACCCUGACAGUCACCAGGGAAACAAGAGACACAGACCUUGAACUCAGCACCACUCCUGCAUACUUCCCAUUCCAAGUUCCCCUUUUUAAGUCCCUCUCCCUAGCCUAAAGUUGGGAAUGGUCUUUUAAAGGCAUGAGCCUGGCUAUUCCCCAACUUCUAGCAUUUGAAUAAAGUUGCUUUCCUUUCACCACACC
rnacentral:lncRNA from 10 species